AACGAACGCUGGCGGCGUGGCUAAGGCAUGCAAGUCGAACGGAUACAUCCAAGGGGUAACCCGAGGAUGUAUUAGUGGCGAACGGGUGAGGAAUACAUGGACAACGUACCCUGGACACGGGGAUAGCGGCGGGCCGCAAGGCCCUUUAGCGAAAGUGCCGGUAAUACCCGAUGAUCCCAUAGAUCCGCAUGGUUUUAUGGGCAAAGCUCCGACGGUCUAGGAUCGGUUCAUGCCCAUCAGCUAGUUGGUGAGGUAACGGCUCACCAAGGCAACGACGGGUACCGGGCGUGAGAGCGUGACCCGGCACAUCGGAACUGAGAUACGGUCCGGACACCUACGGGUGCUGCAGCAACGAAUAUUCCGCAAUGGACGCAAGUCUGACGGAGCGACG
rnacentral:rRNA from 1 species